GGGCCCGCACAAGCGGUGGAGCAUGUGGUUUAAUUCGAUGCAACGCGAAGAACCUUACCUACUCUUGACAUCCACGGAAUUCGCUAGAGAUAGCUUAGUGCCUUCGGGAACCGUGAGACAGGUGCUGCAUGGCUGUCGUCAGCUCGUGUUGUGAAAUGUUGGGUUAAGUCCCGCAACGAGCGCAACCCUUAUCCUUUGUUGCCAGCACGUAAUGGUGGGAACUCAAAGGAGACUGCCGGUGAUAAACCGGAGGAAGGUGGGG
rnacentral:rRNA from 1 species